rnacentral:rRNA from 1 species
UACGUAGGGUGCAGGCGUUAAUCGGAAUUACUGGGCGUAAAGCGUGCGUAGACGGUUGCGUAAGUCAGAUGUGAAAGCCCCGGGCUCAACCUGGGAAUUGCAUUUGAGACUGCGUAGCUAGGGUGCGGAAGAGGGAAGCGGAAUUUCCGGUGUAGCGGUGAAAUGCGUAGAUAUCGGAAGGAACACCAGUGGCGAAAGCGGCUUCCUGGUCCAGCACCGACGUUCAGGCACGAAAGCGUGGGGAGCAAACAGG